UAAUAAGUGUUUUAUGGCACUUUUUAAAUCCAUAUCCACCUUGUGUGCAAUGUCAGUCGAUCUUCUUUCAUGGAGGAUCGACCAAACAUCAACCUUUAUCUUUCUAACUCUUUGUCUGAAAAAUAUUAUGAAUAAACAAUUCAAAAUA
rnacentral:misc_RNA from 1 species